CAGCCGUUGGCUCGGGGGAGCCCGCGCCGCCCGGGGGGGCCGCUUCGCUUCGCUUCCCCGCCGGGCCGCGGCGGGGCCGCCGGCUUUCUCGGUGGGAGCCAACAGGGCGGGAACGCCAGGCAGAGUGCAGAAGGCUGUUGCUGAGAGGGGACUUCAGGGAGCAGUGGCAGAGCUGAGGGAGGGGAGCAGAGGAUGACUCAGCAGGGAGCUGUUCUUCAGGGUUACAAUAAUGAACUAGUGAAAUGCAUUGAAGAUUUGUGUAUGCAAAAAGAAGAGUUGAACAAACAAAUCCAACAAGCAGAAGAGGAAAAAAGUAAACUCCAGCAUGAAAUCCAAACCCUGAGUGAACAACUGAAUUGUGUAUGUGAAAACCUGGCCCAAAAGGUAGCUUCACGGAAUGAGCUUGAUAAAAUUCUUGCUGAAACUGAAGCUGCUUACAUGAAGAUUUUGGAUAGUUCUAGAACUUUACUUAAUGUCCUGAAGAAGGAAGUGGGAAGCAUAAAGCAUACGCAAGAACUGAAAACCAAUGUAACGUAAAACGGUCAAAUGUUUGGACUCCACAGUGCUAAAAUUCUACUAGAGAUGCUUACCCUUCAGUUCCAGUACCUCUCCACAUGCAGUUUCUAUUGAUCACCUUACAGGAAUGGAGAGGCAGACACAGCUUCCUGCAGUGGCCAGCCUAAGUCAAGAAGAUGGAAGUGUUAGGUAGAGACUAUAAAACAAAGUAAGAGCCUGAACAAUUGUUAACACUUAAAUUUAAACAUUUUUCAAAGUAUGAUAUCAAAUAGACUGGUCACGAAGCAUUUUAAAGUUAAAUCUUCGUAGGUUUUAUGUUUUUGAGCUUCACAUGCAUAGGUUCUUAUGCUCCAGUGAGAGCUCUUGUAAUGAGCUUGAGGUUUUCCACUGAUAUAUGGUAUAUGGGAACACUUUUAAAAAAAUAUUUCCGUAGUAGUCCAUGAUAGAUCCGUAACUUCUUUUUAAACCAAUUUAUAUAGUUGAUUUAGUUGAAUAUAGUAAAAAAAAUGUAGCAAAUUUAUUCCCUAAAUGUUUUCAGAUAAUCCUAGUUGUAUUCGGAAUUAGAUCAAAUUAUUAUUUUUAGUAUGCUCAUUUUGUUGUUAUAUGGUUAUUAACAAGUUGAAACAACUUAGAGACCCAUUCUGAGUGGGCGUGUAUCUCAGUUCCACAUACCAAAUCCCUUUCAUGUUCUGCAAGCUUCGGGUUUUUUUAAAGCUUCUCUUUCCUGAUACAUUAAGAACACUUUGAGUUGAAAGUCAGCAUGACAGUUAAGACUCCCAUGAUGCAAUUUAAAAAAUGUAGUUGGUAUUCAGGGAUGAAUCAUAUUGUCAGGUGUUUAAAACCAGAAAAAACUACUGGUAAUUCUUCAUAUGCUUAUGCAGUUGUUCAGUAACAGAAAUCCUGCUGGAGAUUUGUGCUGCUUACUGUCCAAUAGUAAAUGAGAUUACUUGCUGCAAUUGAUGAAUCCAGGGUACUUAUCUUUAAAUGCUGGUCCUUCCUCAGGAAUUGUUGCUAGCAUAAAGGGAAUGGAGAUUUUAUCCCUGAGGGUAUGGGGCAAAAGGGGGGUUGCCUUUUCAGUAGAGACAACACAUCUGUGGAAAUAGAGGAGCAUCUUUAUUAACUUGGCUCAUGGUAAAAUGUUGUGAGACAAUUCCAACCAUGUGGUUAUAAUGGUCAUACUUUACUGAUGCAAGCUGCACUGAAGCAAGCUGACAAGAAAAAAAAACAAACAACAACAACAAAAAAAAACCACUGUCCAUGCAGUCAAUCACAAGGAAUGUGAUACCUGAUUGCAGUCAUGGUAUCUUUAAAUGCAGGAGCUCAGGCACAGCUGGAAGCAGGGUAGCUGCUGCAGUACUGGGCUCAGCAAGGGUUAAUUUGCUCAGCCAAAAGUCAGUUGACCAUGUGGACAUGUGAAUUCCUGUGUACUCAGGAGUCACUGGAUUCACUAGAAAAAUGUAACCUGUUUUAUUCUUGAAACUCAGGGAAUUGUAACUGUCAUUAAGUGACAUGAAACAUUAGAUAUGACUUUGAGAAAGAUAUUUAUUUAAAAUCCUGUUCCCUUUAGGGGCUUUUCUCUGAAGCUUAAAGUGUUCUUGCUUUAGAUUCAAGUUGUUCAAAAACCUGUGGCCAAAGGGAAAAAUACAGAUGCCCAAUUUCCCCUGAAGCCCACACGCCUGUAAGUGGUUUGUAUUCACUGUGUAGUACACAAAGUUCCUGGUCAAAUGCUGUCUAAUCCUUCAAUCAAAUUGCAAGUUUUGUGGCUCCCCUUAGUAGUUUAAAUGAUUUGCAGUGAGUGUUGCUUCUUCAAUUUGGAAUGUACUUCGGGUUUUUGUUUAUUUUUCUUUAAUGAAGUAUUCCACUGAGGCCUCCCAUGGCAUUCUGCCACACACGUUCAUAUUGUUCGUGUGAGUAUAUGGGUUUUCUCAGGGAAUGUCAGAAAAAAACUACAUGUACAUCAGCAAUUCAACUGAAACAAGAUUUGAUUUUAUGUCAUGCUGAUUUUAUUUUAAAAAGUGCUUUAAAAUGCCAAGUAUAUACAUACCUGUAUUUAUAUAGGAUAUAUAAACAAGUGUUUCCAAUCAAUAGAUAACCAAGUACCUUACAGAGAAUGUCAAUAUCUUUAUUCCCCUUGAUAGACAGUGACACUUGGUAGUAAUUUGCCCCAAGUCAGGGACAGAUCUGGGAAUGGGAAUCUGGGAAUUUGCUUUUUCAGCCUCAACUGAAUGCUCUGACUUGGGCUGCUUCUCAGGGUUUCAUGUCCUGUUUGGCUUUUGACAUAAACCAACUGGAUUCUGCAUUCUUAACCUGUGUGUUGGGAGAAGGGAUAGAUAUAACUGACUGGAUACGUACUUUUUUUGCUAUUACUACUUCACAUCACAUACAGUGAAGAUGUUUAAAGGUAUUACUCAUUUCUCCAUGGAUAGCCCCUCAUGACAAAAGUAUCCCAGCUCCAGAGCAUCUACUCUCGCUUUCCAGACCUGCUCUCUCCCAGCCCCUACUCACAGGUGUUUGGGAGCUGACUGUAGGACAGAGGAACAGAAAGAACUUUUAAUGAUAGUUGCUAAUUAAUUACCUUUCACAAGCCUAACCUUCUUCAGCUUCAGAUAGCUUGUCUUUACAGGCCAUGCUGUUUGGUCUCAUUUUCAUUAGGCUUCUUAACUACCUUAUGCUAGUCUAUGUAACACCACCAGGUAUCUGUACCAACUCGCUUGAAGGGUUUUCUAGACAUCGAGACUCCUUGGUGUUUAAAUACAAUGGAGGAUCUGAAUUCUAGUCCAUCUAUAACGGCAUAUAGACCACAUAACAGCAUUCUGACCACAUAUGACAAUAACAGUCUGUGUGGCAACUAUAUUCCACCACAGCUCAUUUUGGGUUACUAGAAUUGAAGUGGCAUGGCGAAUCAGGAACUGUAGAGGUAUGGAUGAACAGAGCUUUUCUAGAGGGAAAAGAAGCUGGCUUUAUGAGUCCAGAUUAAAAACUACAUUAAUCAAGGACAGAUGACACCUGACAGCAGUAUUCUUUUAUUUUAUGUAUCACAAUAAAUAUAUAUAUAUACACACACACAUUCUUUAAAAACAUACAAAUAUACUGAGCAUUUUAAUAAGUAUAUAAUGUUCUUGAUAGAAACCCGUCUAAUAUUUCAGUACUGUCUGCCAUUAGAAAGAACAAUUUAAAUAGGGUGGUCAUUAACAACUUCCAUUAGGUUGUGUACCCUCUGCUUUCAAUAGCCACCCCGGUCUUGCUACUAUAUAAACCCUCAUUUGUAGCCCAAUCCUCCUCUUCCUGCUGCAACAGCUUUUAUUGCCCCUGUUUCCUAGCCCCUUGCUUACUGUGUUUUUAGUUAUCCCAAGCUUCUGACCAGAAACACACUGCUCUUCUGCCAUGUGAUGUGUCAGAGAUACUUUCAGUCUCUUCAUAUUGUCCAGAUCUGUUCUGGCACACUUGGAAAAAUUGUUUGCAAAGAUAAACAGAUUUCAUUCAGUUUGCUAGUGACACAGAAGUAAUGGUAGGACAGGGUAAGAAUAUUACAUGGUGGAGAAAAAACAAUCACCUGAUCCAAGAGGAGUUUCAUCCUAUGAAAAACCCAUCCUGAGAAGACUUUCAGGUUGAAGAGAUGGAUGGAUGGAAUGUGACAUUCUUGAUACACUGUGGAGAUGAAAGAACAGAAGUUUAUUAUGUUUGUCAAUUAAAAUAUCAUUGUCCCAGUAAAUGCAGACUGUUUAUAGUCUUCUGCAAAUACAGAAGGUCUAUAUGGGAUGCUGUAAUUUAGGAUGUUGUAAUUUAAUUAGUAUUAAGGCUAUGCACAGAGUGACUCAAGUUUGUUCCAGAAAUGAUUGCAGUGUGUUUGAGAAAAGACUAUAACUUGAUAUUAAAAAGAGGGAAAAGAAAUACAGUGUUGGACCUUGCAGAUCAAUGGUCUUACUGAGGAAGCCUUCGUAGGUCAGCUAUGUAGUUCCUCAAAGCUCUGAACAUGACUUAUAUUGCAAAAUAGUAAACACAUGCUAAGAUAGAGUGGAGUACACUCAAAAUCAGGUGACUUGUAAAAAGUUAUGUCAAGACAUCAUAUGUCUUCAGCAGUUUUCUUUGUAAUUAAUUGUUACAAAUUAAUAUAUUCCCCAGUAAGGUGCACUAGAAAUAAACGUUCCAGAUGCCUUCAUCUGCAGAGAAGAAGGAAAGGCAAUUAAAUGUCUGCAUACUGUGAAAUCUCUGGGUACCAAUAGUGUUUGCACAGACUUUCAUAACAUUUUAAGGAACAAUUGGUUUUCCUGCUGUCUGGGCUGACUGAAUGCAAGCAGUUUUUGAAAGAGGACAGUAGCUCAGUUAUUUUCACACUGGCUAAAAUCCUGCUGAUUUGCAUAAAAGUUUCUAUUUUUAUUUACUGAUAGCAAAGUUUUGGUGACAAACUGGCUCCUCCAGACCAGACAAAUUCUAUUUUAUUUUAUUAGCAUGCAUCAUUUCAUCUCUGACAAAGAAAGGGCAGACUUCUGAUGAUGUAGUGAAAGAACCUGGGGCAGAGGAGUGUCUGGCCUCUAUCAAAGAGUAGGAAAAACACAAAAGGUCAAAACUGCUGGCCUUGGUCUGAAUUGAGCAGGGUUGCUUGCUUGCAAAAGUAUCAAGUGAGAGGGCUUUUUUUUCCUUUUUUUUUUUUUUCCUUUUUUUUUUAUUCACUCCCUCCUACAUCAUUACUGGGCUGAGUAGAAAAAUAAUUUUAUUUCUCUUUAAAGGUAUGAAUAAUAAUAAAUGUGUUAAUUUGCUCCAAGAAAAGCCAGUUCCACAUAGGAGCUCAAGCUGCCCCAUGGGAGCUCUAUUUUUUUCCUUCAGAGAAAAAUUGUCGUCAUGCAAACUCUAAAAUCCAGCAGCCAUUGAAGGUGAAGGAGAAACAACAAAAUGCUGUGUUUGCUUGUCACUGCGGACCAAUUAUUCUUCCAGUAGCUGCGCUCCUAUGUGUAGUUUCUUAGUUGCACAUACUGCCUGUCCCAAAACAUGGAGUUUUGUUCUCAGACCUGUUUAGUUUAAAAUACAUUCUUUUAUUUUAGAUGACCUUAAUAAAGCAGUGCAUACUGGUGCAUAUAUAGGUAUGAAAUUUGUCUAUAACUGUUAGUUAGAAGUCCUUUUCAUUGGCUAAGUAUACCAUGUAUUAUUACACUGAUAUAGCUAGAAUGAAGCUUGGUUCUCAGACAUUAAGAUGACCCUUUUAAUUUUGAUUCUGCCAAUAGGUAUUUUAUAGUUUCAGGAGUUGGUGAAGUCAGCAGCCACCAAACACAGUAAAGUGUAACUUGACUUCUGUGGACUAAAGUUAAAAUUUCCUGUAUUGCCUUGCAUGAAGAUUUUUGUUUUAAGUAACUUCUGCAUUUGGUUGGUUGAUGGGAAACCACAGCCAAAUGUUUUAAAGAGGUAUCAAAACCAAUUUGUUUUGGUUAACAGUACAUUUCCUGGAUAAUCUCAUCCAGGAGAGAUUUUAAGUGCAGUACAUGUUCAGAGCCAGGACCCUCAGAGCACAGCCCAGCCUCCAUUUCCAAGCCUGUCAUUCCCAUCGCACAUGAACGAGCCAGACUGUUUUGCAAGGUCCAUGGGACAAGGGACCAUCUUCUAGGUGCUGGUAGAGAACAGAUGAUUAAAUAAAUUAAGGCAGUGCAUGCCAUACAAAAACAUCCCAGGCAGGCUCACACCAAGGCAUUCAGAAGGACUUAGGAGUCUCUUCUAUGUUUCUACUCUGCAUGAAGUGUAAAUAUAUGUGUGUAUGCGUAUACUGCUCAAGCUACUUGAUGCUACAUCAGCUAUAUUGAGAUUCUGUUACGUUGGAAAGUUAUGACUUAAUGAGAUUAUUUUAACAAGAAAUUAACAUGAGCAAAGCCCCUAAAACCAACCAAAGUAGUUGUGCGUGUUGCUGGAUUUCAAAGUGUUGACUUUCCACAUCUGUAACUUCUGAUUCUAGUGCCGAGUCCUGUAUGGUAGCAAAGAAGGUAACACAUUUUAAAGUUCUGGAAUGAGUUUUGAGGUAAUACUAAGAAUUUAGUAAGUGUCCAUGAGGAUGUUAUACCACAAGGCUUACUGAAAGUUAGUGUGUCUUGUGCUCUGCUUGCUAAUGCUCUGGACUUUUAGGAUUCAGGAUUCUUGGUACGUUUCUCAAAGGCCUGGCUCCUGAAAUCAAGGCGUUUUCUUUGUUCUUCCCUCUCCCUGAUGAGUUUAAAGUUCUAUUUCUGUUCCUUGUAAAAAAUGUUGAAAACACAAAAGCAUGAAAGGCCCAGAAAUGCAAAUACAAAUAAUUCUAGAUCUUUUUUAUGACAGUCUCACACUUUGUGCUUGGCCUGAUAUAAAUCUUUGUGAAUGCUAGAAGCUGGUCAUGGUCAAAGUCUUACUGAAAAAUUCCCCCCAUGUUAUACUUCAAUCAAAUAAAAUGCAAUUGUGAUAGCUUUAAGAAA